UGUAAGCGUAUACCAAAGUUGUUGCAGUUAAAACGCUCGUAGUCGGAAUUUGGAAGUUCCGGAUGUGUGCACGUCGUGUGCGCACUUCGCGGGGAUUGCUUUUGUGGUCUUGCGUAGGAUGAGGCACUUUUAUUAGUGAACGUCCUCACGCAACCACUUUUUACUGUGAGAAAAUCAGAGUGCUCAAAGCAGGCAUUUGCCGUGAAUGUAUUAGCAUGGAAUAAUAGAAUAGGACUUGGUUCUAUUUUGUUGGUUUGUUGGGACUGAGUAAUGAUUAAGAGGGACAGUUGGGGGCAUUUGUAUUUCGGUGCUAGAGGUGAAAUUCUUAGAUUACCGAAAGACAAACUGCUGCGAAAGCGUCUGCCAAGGAUGUUUUCAUUGA
rnacentral:rRNA from 1 species